UACGGGGGGGGCAAGCGUUGUUCGGAAUUACUGGGCGUAAAGGGCUCGUAGGCGGCCAUCUAAGUCGGACGUGAAAUCCCUCGGCUUAACCGAGGAACUGCCCUCCAAACUGCUUGGCUUGAGUCCGGGAGAGGUGAGUGGAAUUCCCAGUGUAGCGGUGAAAUGCGUAGAUAUUGGGAGGAACACCAGUGGCGAAGGCGGCUCACUGGACC
rnacentral:rRNA from 1 species